rnacentral:rRNA from 1 species
CUGAGACACGGUCCAGACUCCUACGGGAGGCAGCAGUAGGGAAUAUUGCUCAAUGGGGGAAACCCUGAAGCAGCAACGCCGCGUGGAGGAUGAAGGUUUUAGGAUUGUAAACUCCUUUUGUUAGAGAAGAUAAUGACGGUAUCUAACGAAUAAGCACCGGCUAACUCCGUGCCAGCAGCCGCGGUAAUACGGAGGGUGCAAGCGUUACUCGGAAUCACUGGGCGUAAAGAGCGCGUAGGCGGGAUAGUCAGUCAGGUGUGAAAUCCUAUGGCUUAACCAUAGAACUGCAUUUGAAACUACUAUUCUAGAGUGUGGGAGAGGUAGGUGGAAUUCUUGGUGUAGGG